GAUGAAGAACGUAGCGAAAUGCGAUAAGUAAUGUGAAUUGCAGAAUUCAGUGAAUCAUCGAAUCUUUGAACGCACAUUGCGCCCGCUAGUAUUCUGUCGGGCAUGCCUGUCCGAGCGUCAUUUCAACCCUCAAGCCCCCGGGCUUGGUGUUGGGGAUCGGCGAGCCUCCGCGCCCGCCGUCCCCUAAAUCUAGUGGCGGUCUCGCUGUAGCUUCCUCUGCGUAGUAGCACACCUCGCACUGGGAAACAGCGCGGCCACGCCGUUAAAACCCCAACUUCUGAACGUUUGACCUCGGAUCAGGUAGGAAUACCCGCUGAACUUAAGCAUAUCAAUAAGCGGAGGA
rnacentral:misc_RNA from 1 species